GACAGGCUUGACGAUGCUGUUAGUAUGAACAGGUGGGUCGAAAAUAACCAGGACUGUGUAUUUUUCUUUGAAGAUUUUUCCGAUAAUGAUACCUUUGUCCUGGGCAUUCAGACAGAUUUGCAACUACAGCAGAUGAUUCAGUAUGGCAACCGCAGUUUACUGGCUUCCGAUUCAAAGUUUGGAACAAACAAGUUAAAGUAUCCUGUACAUAGCAUCCUUGUUUUCGACUAGCAGAAAAAUGCAAUUCCUGUUGCUUGGAUCAUAACUCCCAAUUUUACACAUGGUGAAAUACAUAGAUGGAUGGGUGCUCUAUAUGAUCGUGUUCGUACAAAAGGCCCGACAUGGCAGUUGAGCGGCUUCAUUAUUGAUGAUCCAUUGACUGAUGUGCGCACUAUAAGGGAAGUGUUUCUGUGCCUGGUGUUGAUUUCCUUAUGGCGUGUCCGUCACGCUUGGCAUAAAAAAUUGAUGAACAAGUGUUAAGAUUUUGAGAGGCGUUCAAUGAUGUCUAAACGACUUGGGGAGGCAAUAUCCAGCAUCUGCAGAGGAAACGGUGAUAUAGAAUUAUUUCAGGCCUUCCUGGAAGAUUUUAUUGAUUGCUCUGGCUUUGUAGACUACUUCAAAGCUCUAUGGUUUCCAAGACUUGGGGCAUGGACAAGCGUCUUGAAGACCAACCCGUUGGCUACUGCUGAGGUAGCUUCAGCAAUUGAGAGGUACCACCACCUGCUAAAACUUCGGCUGUUGAAUGAGGCAGAUGAAAGCAUCUACCAACGUGCAGACUGGUUGGUUCACAAGUUGGGUACAAAGGUUCACUCUUACUAUUGGUUGGAUGAAUUUUCUGGGAAGGACAGUUUCUCUCGCUACUGGAGGAGUGAGUGGAAAACCGGCCCAAACCCAUUGCAGCAGGGAUUGCAAAUUCCAGAUUCUGGUAUUGUAAUUGAAGGCAAUUGUGCUAGAGUGGUCUGCCAGAAACACAAGGAGAAGUCCCAUGCCGUUCUGAACCCAAGCUCUGAGCUUGCAUUGUGUGACUGUAGCUGGUCAAGGAAGGGAAACCUUUGCAAGCAUGCAAUGAAGUCGGCUAAGGUUUAAUAAGUUAUAUAACAGAAAUAGAAUUUAAUUUGUGUAUGGUGUGGAUUCCAAAACUAAUCAGCUUCUACUGGAACGCUCGCUUGUACUCCCUCCGUCCCAAAAUAACUGUCUCAAGCUUAGUACUAGAAUUUAUUUUGCGACGGAGGGAGUACUAGAAUUUUUCUAAAGCUAAUGGAAUCCCCUUGUACUCCAUCUAAAGCUUUCAUGAUGACUACUUUUCCAAGAUACAUGUGACAAAGAGGAGGAGCUCAGGGAGCUGAAUGUGAAAGGAUAAAGUAGUCAGGAAGGAGAAAUCAUAUGUUGGCUUAACUAAUGCUUCCUAAUCAGAACAUGAACCUUAUGAUGACCCAUAGUUGGAUGUAUGUGAGAGACAUCCUUGAUGACUGGGAUUCUAGGAAGACGAUCACAUACUCGACCAGCCCACCUGUCACCGCGAGAAUCAUCCUGGUAACAAUAAAAUCUACAACCAAGAACAUUUGUUUGUGUCAGACAUCUUUAAUAACUGACGUGGAAGUAUUGACAGUUCUCCACAAGCUAAUUGUUUGAUGUGAUUAUCUGGUGGUGCUUUUGCUCCAGCUUCAAUUGCAUUGCUUCUGCUGUAUUCAUGGACUCUUUUCCCUUCGGUCAUUGAUUGAACCGAGUUGAUUCUGCAUAGCCGCAUAGGGAUAGGUACUUUUGAUAGUCUACUAUACAAAAAUAUUUGGUCAGUUAUUACCCUCCCUAUGUAUCUAUUCUUUUUCAAGUUUGAAUUGUUAAUAUAUCCAUUAGAGGAUUAGUUAUCCGUCUGCGCAAGGACCAAUACAGGUUAAGCACCCAUUGUUUUAAAGUAGAUUGUCUCUAUUCUCAUGCACGUGGACUUUCGGGGUAUGGAUACAAUGAAGUUCCACAAUGAUUCUCUUAAUUUCUAGGUUUCAGUAUCUUUUA